rnacentral:rRNA from 1 species
UGAGGAACAUGACCUUCGGCGGGGGAGUAGCCGGCCCAACGGCCGGGUAAUACCGCGUACGACCACUUUGGGACAUCCCUAGGUGGUGAAAGCAGCAAUGCGCCGAUGGAGUGCCUCGCGGCCUAUCAGCUAGUUGGGUGGGGUAACGGCUCACCAAGGCAACGAUGCGUAGCCGGCCUGAGAGGGUGAUCGGCCACAUUGGAACUGAGACACGGUCCAGACCUCCGUACGGGGAGGNACGACG